rnacentral:rRNA from 1 species
GGCUCAGGAUGAACGCUAGCUACAGGCUUAACACAUGCAAGUCGAGGGGAAACGACAUCGAAAGCUUGCUUUUGAUGGCGUCGACCGGCGCACGGGUGAGUAACGCGUAUCCAACCUGCCCACCACUUGGGGAUAACCUUGCGAAAGUAAGACUAAUACCCCAAUGACGUCUCUAGAAGACAUCUGAAAGAGAUUAAAAGAUUUAUCGGUGAUGGAUGGGGAUGCGUCUGAUUAGCUUGUUGGCGGGGUAACGGCCCACCAAGGCGACGAUCAGUAGGGGUUCUGAGAGGAAGGUCCCCCACAUUGGAACUGAGACACGGUCCAAACUCCUACGGGAGGCAGCAGUGAGGAAUAUUGGUCAAUGGGCGAGAGCCUGAACCAGCCAAGUAGCGUGCAGGAUGACGGCCCUAUGGGUUGUAAACUGCUUUUAUAAGGGAAUAAAGUGAGUCUCGUGAGACUUUUUGCAUGUACCUUAUGAAUAAGGACCGGCUAAUUCCGUG